rnacentral:rRNA from 1 species
GACGAACGCUGGCGGCGUGCUUAACACAUGCAAGUCGAACGGAAAGGCCCUGCUUUUGUGGGGUGCUCGAGUGGCGAACGGGUGAGUAACACGUGAGUAACCUGCCCUUGACUUUGGGAUAACUUCAGGAAACUGGGGCUAAUACCGGAUAGGAGCUCCUGCUGCAUGGGGGGGGUUGGAAAGUGUCGGCGGUUGGGGCUGGUCUCGCGGCUUAUCAGCUUGUUGGUGAGGUAGUGGCUUACCAAGGCUUUGACGGGUAGGCGGCCUGAGAGGGUGACCGGCCACAUUGGGACUGAGAUAGGGCCCAGACUCCUACGGGAGGCAGCAGUGGGGAAUAUUGCACAGUGGGCGGAAGCCUGAUGCAGCAACGCCGCGUGCGGGAUGACGGCCUUCGGGUUGUAAACCGAUUUCGCCGGUGACGAAGAGUGAGUGACGGUAAUGGGUAAAGAAGCCCCGGCUAACUACGUG